rnacentral:rRNA from 1 species
AUAUCAGAAGGCACACCCGGAGAACUGAAACAUCUUAGUACCCGGAGGAAGAGAAAGAAAAUUCGAUUCCCUUAGUAGCGGCGAGCGAAACGGGAAGAGCCCAAACCAACAAGCUUGCUUGUUGGGGUUGUAGGACACUCUAUACGGAGUUACAAAGGACGACAUUAGACGAAUCAUCUGGAAAGAUGAAUCAAAGAAGGUAAUAAUCCUGUAGUCGAAAAUGUUGUCUCUCUUGAG